rnacentral:hammerhead_ribozyme from 1 species
UUGCUGUUUCGGGAUGUGUAUUCCGACUGACGAGCUCAAAAGAGCGAAACAGAAA